rnacentral:rRNA from 1 species
CAAUAGCGUAUAUUAAAGUUGUUGCGGUUAAAAAGCUCGUAGUUGGAGUUCUGCCAGGUGACACUCGUCCGCCCAAGUGGUGUGUACAGGGUGUGCAUCUGGCCCUUUCAAGGGGAACGUGUCUGCACUUCAUUGUGUGGUGCGAGAUCCUUGACUUUUACUUUGAGGAAAUAAGAGUGUUCCAAGCAGGCUCUCGUCGUGCAUAGCUCAGCAUGGAAUAAUAGCAUUGGACUUCGUUUCUACGCUGUUGGUUGCAAGAAGCGAGGUAAUGAUGAAGAGGGAUAGUUGGGGGCAUUCGUAUUUAACUGUCAGAGAUGAAAUUCUUGGAUUUGUUAAAGACGGUCUACUGCGAAAGCAUCUGCCAUGGAUGUUUUCAUUGA